AUUAAAAUCUGUUAAUUUAUUUCAUCAUGGAAGAUGCAGUGUUUAGCGGAGGACUGUUACACAUUUCACAAAGCAUUUAAUCUGUUUGACUGAAUUUGUAAAGCAUCAAAUUUCAUAUAUUAUAAUUAAGUUAGAUAUAACUCUAUAACAUUUUAUAGCUUAUACAGAAACACAAAUGUUCAUUUUAACAGAGGUGCACAUUUAACAAACCUACAAAUUUAACAAAACUGUUAACUUAUUUUUUUAAAUAUUUUUUUUUUUAAGUUUCCCUUUCAAAUUUUGUGAUCCAUAAGGCAGAUGAUGUUAAGAUCUUGUUUUUAUGGCCAACGGUUAAUGAGCAUGCUGUCAUGGGGCCAGCACAUUGACCAACUGCUUUUACUUUCCCCAACUAAAGUCAGGUACCCAUUACAGGUGGAUGGACUGGGGCACCUUAAAAAUCACGAGAUUCAAAAUCCGUCUUCACUGAGAUUCGAACCCAGGACCCCAGGUUCAGAAGCCAAGCGCUUAACCACUCAGACACCGUGCCCCCAUUAACUUAUUUGAAGACACAACAAAGGUCACAUCAGCCGCACACAGUUUAGACAAGCUUUGAACAUGCUGGAAAUUCCCAUUGAG